UAUUGCAUUUAUGAUAAAUAAUACGAGCUGUAAGCUACAAAACUAGUUAUACUGGAUACUGCUCUCAGCUUCAGAAUUUACCUAGUAUUUUAUAAUGGACGAAAAUAAGACUUCUAGAGGUAAGACACUGUGUUGAUGAAAUGAUUUAUAUUAAUUCAUUUUGCUAAAGGUAAACUUUAUGGAAUUUAUAUCAGAAUGGUUUGUCUUUAAAAUGCUUUUACUUACAAAUUGAAAUCAUGUUCGAAGAUAGAUGUUCAACUCAAUUAUAUAGUGUGUGCAUGUGCUUCCGGGGUAAGGAAGGAGGAGGCCAAGUGUAUGAUGCUGUCAGGGGCUCUGAGGCAUCUGCCUUGAAAAAGAAUCAAAUGGUUAUUUCUCAUUUGUUUUUUGUUAUUUAUAUACAAUUUUUGCCUUUCAUAGAUUAAUGCAGUGGAUGAGCCUAGAAUUUGGGCCCCGAAACAACCUAAGAAAUGAUUUUAUUGCAGUUUGACUUCCAACUGCAUUUAGUGUGCUGUGAACAAUUUUUGUUUUGCUUUCAGAGCUAUAAGUAUCUGAUAGUGUGCAAAUUUGGAAGAGUUCCCCAGAAUUGCUGUGGAAAAAAAGGCCAGAUGCCAAUAUUCUGUUUUUAUUUUUAGAACAUGAUAUCAAGUUCUAUUUUACUCAUUAUAUGAUUUUUUAAAGUUUCAGAAAUAUUUAUUGGGCUUCCCCCAUCUACAGUCAGAUUGCAGUGGCUUGAAUCAGUGCACACAUUUACUCUGCUUUUUAGAAUUAUCUGCUGUUUAUUUGUGCUCCACAAACCCAAAGGACAAAAUUCCCACUUGUCAGGUACAUUUAUUUCUUGGGGAAAAAAAAGAAAACCUUCUUUUCGCUUUUUGUUGACCUUGGGCAAAUGAGCUUCUUGCCCUGGCAGAAAUGAAAUGAAUGAUAAAUGUAGAGUGUGUCUUUGCUGAGUAAUGGAGCUGCGGCUCCGGCUCCGUAGAGGCUCUCUCCCGCACAGCCCGAGGCUGCCCGAGGACCCCUGCUGUUCAUUUAAAUAGGUAUGUCAAAUCUGCCUCCAAACGCCGCCGGUUUGAUCUGUGGUAAUAUUUGUGAAGGUUCCAUAUGGACUUGAGCCCCCUGCAGUGCUAAGAAAUAAUGUACAACGCUUCAUGGUGCAGACGCAAAUUUUCUCUGAAAAGGGAUGCAAUGCUGCGUUUUAGCUGUCGGAGGGGAUGAUGGAGCUGACGCGCUAGGCCUGUCAACUUGUUACACGGAUGGGUUGCACGCAGCGAAGCUGUGGAAAAUCUGUGCCUUUUAACUUUUCUACUUAAUCACGGUUGUAGCAUUGCCUUUAGACUGUAUGCUACAUUAAUUCUCUUCCUGCCUUCUGCCUUUCGUCCCAAGUUUCACGGAAAAAAAGUAAAGCAUGCAGGUCUUGUAGAGGAGCCUUAUCAAACAGCUGUCAUCUGACAUGCCAUUUGCAUUUGUUUUGGCUGAAACUGAGCAACCCAAGGGCAAGAUAUUUCGUUGCAUUCCAUCAUAAUGAGGAAAUUACACAUCUUAUAAGAGACCUAACUUUUUUUUUUUAAGUUUGUUUUUAUGUUUUAAAAGGUAUUGUUCAAGAAACUGAUCAGUUUCUAAGUGGAUAAAAUGUUACCAUACUCUCUGACUAAAAUGUCAAAUGAUAUCUUAUUAAUAAACAUUCUUUGUUUUUGAGUAAUUUAAGUUUUGUUAUGUAUCGAUAGAAGAGUCCUUUGGGCUUUUAUAUUUUAGUGCAAUGCAGUAAUUUCUAAAUGUAUGCCCUAUGCAUACAUUUCAGCAUUAUGUAUAGCAGGUGUUAUUAAUUACAGCUGCAGUCACACCAGCCUAGUUUCCCAGAUAACACAUAUCACGAUCACCUGCCGGAGAUACUGAGACUUUGAAAUAGUGACGAAAUGUUCAUCAUUCACCCUACAGAAGCAUUUUUGUAGUGGCCAGGCACUGCGUAGAAAGUCCAGCUAUAACACUUGGAGCCAUCUCGCCUGUCUGCGCUCUCUUUGUUCUGCCUGGUCUUGAUGGUGAGGGGAGCCAUCCCCUUCCCACCGUGAGUGAUCACAGGACGGCUGUCCCCACUGCGGCACGGGAGGUCGCCCCUGAAGACUGUGGCAAGCUUUAAAGACUUGGAAAUGAAUCCUUGUUGCUACCAUUUAUUUUCGUUGAUAGAAUUUUUUCCCUAUGUGACGGGAUAACAGACACUAAGCCAAACUGUUUUUCCCAUGUCAUUGCCCAACUGUAAUCGUGGGAGGCCCGGAUGCCAUUGGCCAGGAGUUGUGACAGGAAAACACAUCUAGAGCCUGCGUGCAUUUGGCGUGAGGAGACCCUUCUGAUGCCGAAUAACCUUUCUUGUCCUCCUUAAAGAUGCCAAAUCUUCUUUUUAGUAUUUGGUGACUGUUUGCAUACGAAGCAUAUAUAUUAUGUUACAGCAAUUAAUAAAAGAUGGCCCUGAUGCACCUUGCAGUUAAGAUCAGUGUAUGAUACUUUAGUGGAUCCUGUUUCCAGUUGACGUGUAUUUAGUCUGUCCCCUUUCUGUGGAGAAAUGGGGAGGUUUUUGAGGAAAAAUGGCCAUGAAAUAUAAGAUACAGUUUAUUGUUCCUGCCCAGAAAUGAAGCGUGAUAGGAAAGUAUAAAGUGAAGGGGGAUUUGCUGAUCCGUGAUGUUCUCAUGUUUUGGAAACGUGCCACACUCCACAGGUUCACUUGCAGGGCACUUGGGCCCCCAUUUUUCUAUGGAUAUAAUGAUCCGCGUGUCUUCAGGUUCCUGGGAAAGUCGAUUAAAAACUCAUUUAUUUUACACUAAUAACAUGUAUGUAUAUAAUGAAAAAAGUAUAAAACCAUAGUAACAAAUAAUUUCUUAAUAAAAAGUAAUUUAAGAAGAAAUAAGAAACUUCCUGAGUUUCUGAAAGCAUCAUUGAGCACCACGAAGGGACCCCCUGCAUGGUGGCACUGGCUUGGCUGGCUUUUCACCAAAAAUGGAUGGCUUCUCCCUUCCUUAAUGUCCAUUUAACUAGUAGAACUUGUUUGCUUUUCUGACAUGAUUUAGGGCUUUAGGUUUCAAGAAAGAGAGAAAGAAUAAAGUUUCCUGAAACAAUUGAGCAAAGGUGUAAAAGGAGAGGGAAGAAUGUUAAAGAGGAUGUAGAUGUCUGUGUAAAAAAUAAAAUGCUAUACAGCAAGAUAGCCGAGUUGUGGCUAGCCUAGGUGAAGACUGUGGGGAGUGGAGAAAGGACUAGGCCAGAGAGGGGGCUGCCCGUUGGAUCCAAGGCUGUAAACCCCACCAGGGUUACCCCCUUUCCCACUGCAGCUUGGACCUGUCCAGGACAACCAAGCUGGUGGCAAAGGCCGCAGCCUUGGUGGUCAUGGUUCAGUUUCUGAAGGUCCUUUAAUUUGAAGAAAAAAACAUUUACCAGUACGUAUGUUUCUGGAAAAUAAAAAUAAAAAUUCACUCACUAGCAGAGCGCACGUGGCCGGGCCGCACCUGCCCAGCCGUGAAAAAAGUACAUCUCCUGGAAAGGAUGCUUUUUAGCUGAGCUCUGGUGGAUGAGAGGAGCUAGCCUUGAAAAACUUGAUACUGAUGGACAUUGUGUGGGCCAGAGGCAGGGAUGGUUGGCUAUGACCCCAAACCAGAUAGCAGGAAUAACACCAAGUUCCAGGUGGCAGUGGCUGGGUCUGUGUCUGGACUUGUCACUCGGGCGCUGAUCAGUCCCUUCGACGUCAUCAAGAUCCGUUUCCAGCUUCAGCAUGAGCGCCUGUCUCGAAGUGACCCCAACGCAAAGUACCAUGGCAUCCUCCAGGCCUCUAGGCAGAUUCUGCAGGAGGAGGGGCUGACAGCUUUCUGGAAAGGACAUAUCCCCGCUCAGAUUCUCUCCAUAGGCUAUGGAGCUGUCCAAUUCUUGGUCGUUUGAAAUGCUGACGGAGCUGGUCCACAGAGGCAGCGUGUACGACGCCCGGGAAUUCUCAGUGCACUUUGUGUGUGGUGGCCUGGCUGCCUGUAUGGCCACCCUCACUGUGCAGCCUGUGGAUGUUCUGCGCACCCGCUUUGCAGCUCAGGGUGAGCCCAAGGUCUAUAAUACGCUGCGCCACGCUCUGGGGACCAUGUAUAGGAGCGAGGGCCCCCAGGUUUUCUACAAAGGCUUGGCCCCCACCUUGAUCGCCAUCUUCCCCUACGCGGGGCUGCAGUUCUCCUGCUACAGCUCCUUGAAGCACCUGUACAAGUGGGCCAUGCCAGCCGAAGGAAAGAAAAAUGAGAACCUCCAAAACCUGCUUUAUGGCACUGGAGCUGGUGUCAUCAGCAAGACCCUGACAUAUCCGCUGGACCUCUUCAAGAAGCGACUACAGGUUGGAGGGUUCGAGCACGCCAGAGCUGCCUUUGGCCAGGUGCACAGAUACAAGGGCCUCAUGGACUGUGCCAAGCAGGUGCUGCAAAAGAAGGUGCCCUGGGCUUCUUCAAGGGCCUGUCCCCCAGCUUGCUGAAGGCUGCCCUCUCCACAGGCUUCAUGUUCUUCUGGUAUGAAUUCUUCUGUAAUGUCUUCCACUGCAUGAACAGGACAGCCAGCCAGCGCUGAGCGCAGGAAGGACCCCAGGUCUGUCCUGGAGGCAGCGUCCUGAAGGAAGGAAGAUUCAGUCUCCACUGAGAGGUGCUCUCUGGCCCUUCCCUGUGGGCCAGCUGCCCCCAGCAGGGUGGCAGCCUUGAACCCACCCAGCUGGGACACCACCAGAAGGUCCAGGGCUCUCCCCAUGAGAGAAUCAGAGGGAAUGCAGGACAUGGUCUACGGUGAACCAACGACACAGCGAGAAGGAGCAGGAAGUUGCUGUUUCUCCUCUGACCCCAGCCCACACUCCAAAGGAAAGAGAUGCCAUCCUACACCUGUCAGCCCUGUCUGCCCGGAGAACAGAACGCUCCUGGUCUGGAUGGGGCUGCUGCUUGAGUGCGGAGGGCUGCAGUAGGCCCUUUGCAGGAGUCAGGUCCCCACACUCGGCCUGUUUUUCCCAACCUAUUUAAUAGACAUUAAAGCUAAACGCACAUUC